rnacentral:lncRNA from 1 species
UUGAUCUAUAUAAUUAAAGUCACAUUGGAAGGCCUUAACCAACAACUAAACAAUUUGUGUAUAUAUGUUUAUCUUGUUCUUUUUAUUUUAUUUUGUUUUAUAUGCCUGUUCUGUGGUUUGCCAUGCUUUAUGUCUGUUUGAAAUUGUUUAUUAUAUUGUUGAAGCCCCACCCUUGUACUUUGUAUACCUUUUUUUUUAUAUAACUUUAUAUGUCUACUGAUAUAACUACUUACAGAAUAAGGGUGGGGUUAAAUUAUUCUAGGUCAACUCGACUGCGUCGUAAAAAAUGUAUUGACAUGAAUACUGUUGUUCUUGUUUCACUUAUGCUUCGAUAUGGUUAUUAUAGGGAUCACAAUUGCUCUAUUAUAUACUGUUAUUUUUGAAUUAGAUCAACUUCCAAUAACACCAUUUUCAAGUACACGAUUAACUACCAAAGUGUU